rnacentral:rRNA from 1 species
AUUGAACGCUGGCGGCAUGCCUUACACAUGCAAGUCGAACGGUAACGCGGAGCAAUCUGGCGACGAGUGGCGAACGGGUGAGUAAUAUAUCGGAACAUACCCUAGAGUGGGGGAUAACGUAGCGAAAGUUACGCUAAUACCGCAUACGAUCUGAGGAUGAGAGUGGGGGAUCGCAAGACCUCAUGCUCAUGGAGUGGCCGAUAUCUGAUUAGCUAGUUGGUAGGGUAAAAGCCUACCAAGGCGACGAUCAGUAGCUGGUUUGAGAGAACGACCAGCCACACUGGAACUGAGACACGGUCCAGACUCCUACGGGAGGCAGCAGUGGGGAAUUUUGGACAAUGGGGGCAACCCUGAUCCAGCAAUGCCGCGUGAGUGAAGAAGGCCUUCGGGUUGUAAAGCUCUUUUGUCAGGGAAGAAAAGGUAGCCUCUAAUACAGGCUGCUCAUGACGGUACCUGAAGAAUAAGCACCGGCUAACUACGUG